ACUCGGGGCGUCUUCAUACAGAAUAGUUCUUGCUUGCGGAUCAAUGGGUUUCAUUAUGUUCAUAUUGAUAGAACCAUCAGGUUCGAGGGGUCUCCAAUUUGAUAAAUAGUCCAUGAGAAUCGAUUGAUCAUCGUGAUCGCCGCAAAUAUAUGUAAAAUUUAAUUUUGAAGAUAAUAGCAAAAAUUGAGCGACUAAUAGUAAUUUUUACUUUUUACAACGUAACUAUUUAUUUAAACAAUUAAAAAGAAUAUACAAUUAAUUUUGCGCGAUAAUUAAAUUUGGGAGAUUGAAGAUUACUGUAAACACAAGAUAUAUGUACGUACAAAUUCGUUAAACACCGGAUAUCACAUGAACACAUACUAAUAAUAAUAAAUAAUGUAAAAUGCUUAUUCAUUCGGUACAUUAGUAUUUUAUACAUACAACGUGUAUAUGUAUAAUAUGUUUAUGUGAAUAGAUUAAUGUACCUACUAAAUUGUAUUGUAAAUUUU